UACAGAGGUCUCAAGCGUUGUUCGGAUUCAUUGGGCGUAAAGGGUGUGUAGGUGGCGCGGUAAGUCGGGUGUGAAAUCUCGGAGCUUAACUCCGAAACUGCAUUCGAUACUGCCGUGCUUGAGGACUGGAGAGGAGACUGGAAUUUACGGUGUAGCGGUGAAAUGCGUAGAUAUCGUAAGGAAGACCAGUGGCGAAGGCGGGUCUCUGGACAGUUCCUGACGCUGAGGCACGAAGGCCAGGGGGAGCAAAACGGG
rnacentral:rRNA from 1 species